rnacentral:rRNA from 1 species
UACGUAGGGUGCGAGCGUUGUCCGGAAUUAUUGGGCGUAAAGAGCUUGUAGGUGGUUUGUCGCGUCUGCUGUGAAAAUCCGGGGCUCAACCCCGGACUUGCAGUGGGUACGGGCAGACUAGAGUGUGGUAGGGGAGACUGGAAUUCCUGGUGUAGCGGUGGAAUGCGCAGAUAUCAGGAGGAACACCGAUGGCGAAGGCAGGUCUCUGGGCCGUAACUGACGCUGAGGAGCGAAAGCAUGGGGAGCGAACAGG